CAUUUUAGCGAAAUUGACUUCUGAUCGUAUUUCACCAAAAGUUUCCGAUGCCUUGAAAACUAAACACACCGACCCGAGAAGAUUCUGCCUGCUACUAGGCAUAGGACAAAUGAACACGAAGCCCGGUUCAGGCAGUGUUUCCAACCCCUCAGUAAGGAAAGUAGCUAUUGGCUGUCCUAGAAGUGGCAAAGUGAUGUAAUCACAUCAUUUGCAUAAUUGGCCAUGUGCAUGUAAUUGUGAUGAACGCUGUGGGAGAGACAAAAAGUGAGUAAAAAUUACUUAAAUAUGUUUAGGACUACAAAUGAACUUUUUUCCUGUCGAUUCUUGUUAGUUUUUUAUGUCACAAUUCCAAUCCUCCUCCGUAACCGGGCUUUGACUGGCAAAAGUGACCCAAAAGAGACCCUGGUGGAGGGGUUGAACGCAGUGACGUGGAAGGAAUCCUACCCAAUUCUCUGUGAGUGCCUCGACCUGGUCAGGGGAUCCUCCUGGUUUUGUUCCCUCGAUCUGCACAGCGGCUACUGGCAGGUGCUUCUCACUCCGAAACUGGCCACUGGCAGUUCAAGGUGUGUUUUGGACUCUGCAACCCACCGGCCACAUUUGAACGACUCAUGGACUGUGUGCCGUCAGACGUCCCCAAUCAAAAGUGUCUGGUAUAUUUAGAUUACAUUCUCGCCCAUGGGACCUCCUUCGAAGAAGCACUAGGAGCACUGAGGAGAGUGCUGGAAAGGGAGAGAAAUGCCACUUAAUGCGUUGAGAGGGAGGGGCAUCAGCACCAUGCCUGACAAACUGGAAGCUGUCCGAGACUGGCCUGUCCUGACGACAAAGCAAUAGGGCUAAAAUAUUAAUUAGCCCCUCUUAAAUAAA
ensembl:lncRNA